rnacentral:rRNA from 1 species
AUUGAACGCUGGCGGCAGGCCUAACACAUGCAAGUCGAGCGGAGCGGCGGACGGGUGAGUAAUGCCUAGGAAUCUGCCUGGUAGUGGGGGAUAACGUCCGGAAACGGGCGCUAAUAGCGCAUACUAGCAGCUGAGCCUAGGUCGGAUUAGCAAGUUGGUGGGGUAAAGGCCUACCAAGGAGACGAGCCGUAACUGGUCUGAGAGGAUGAUCAGGCAAACUGGAACUGAGACACGGUCCAGACUCCUACGGGAGGCAGCAGUGGGGAAUAUUGGACAAUGGGCGAAAGCCGGAUUCAGACAUGCCGCGUGUUUGAAGAAGGUCUUUGGAUUUUAAAGCACUUUAAGUUGGGAGGCGUUACCAACAGAAUAAGCACCGGCUAACUUCGUGCCAGCAGCCGCGGUAAUAC